CAUGGCUGUCGUCAGCUCGUGUUGUGAAAUGUUGGGUUAAGUCCGCAACGAGCGCAACCCUUAUCCUUGUUGCCAGCGGUCCGGCCGGGAACUCAAAGGAGACUGCCAGUGAUAAACUGGAGGAAGGUGGGGAUGACGUCAAGUCAUCAUGGCCCUUACGACCAGGGCUACACACGUGCUACAAUGGCGCAUACAAAGAGAAGCGACCUCGCGAGAGCAAGCGGACCUCAUAAAGUGCGUCGUAGUCCGGAUUGGAGUCUGCAACUCGACUCCAUGAAGUCGGAAUCGCUAGUAAUCGUGGAUCAGAAUGCCACGGUGAAUACGUUCCCGGGCCUU
rnacentral:rRNA from 1 species